UACGUAGGGGGCAAGCGUUGUUCGGAAUUACUGGGCGUAAAGGGCGCGUAGGCGGCACGGCAAGUCAGGAGUGAAAGGCCUGGGCUCAACCGAGGAACUGCUUUUGAGACUGCCGAGCUAGAGUGCAGAAGGGGCAACUGGAAUUCCCAGUGUAGCGGUGAAAUGCGUAGAUAUUGGGAAGAACACCGGUGGCGAAGGCGGGUCUCUGGGCCGAUACUGACGCUGAGGAGCGAAAGCGUGGGGAGCGAACAGG
rnacentral:rRNA from 1 species